rnacentral:lncRNA from 1 species
CUAAUUAAAGAGCCAAUUUUUAUGGACAGACAAACCAUCAGAGAAACAAUUUCCAAUAUUUUUCCUAUGCUCUAAAUAUUCUCUGGAACUUACACAAAAAGUUUCACUGCUUUUGGAUCACUCCACAAUUUCCUACAUAAUUUCAAACAUUCAGCAUAUUUAAACAAAAAGGAAAAAAAGAAAAAGGCACUAUGGCGUGCGGGCGGCCUGCUUGGACUUGGCCCAAGUCGGCCCGCGAACGCUUUCCCGCGCGGCCUGCGUGCGCUGGCGCUGCUCUCUCUCACACGGCCGCUGACGAGCGGGUCCCGCUCGUCAGGGGCGUCUUCCACCUCGCACCACC